rnacentral:lncRNA from 1 species
CGAAGGUGAGGUCAUCGGUAGUGGCGGCGGAGAAGAAGGGAAAAUUAUCGGGAUUAUUAGGGUUAGAAGGUGGUGGAGCGGUUUCGGAUUCUUCUAGAAACGUACCGUUGCAAUUAGGGCACGUGAGUUCGGAGUUUGGCGAUGGCGUAAUGGUAACUGUCUGUUCACAUUGGUAGCAGUGAUAAUUCUGCGGUUGAUUGCCGGUGGCACCGCCUCCUCCUCCACCGCUACCAAAAGUUCCGGGCGACGACAUUUUGUUUUUGUCUAUAUAUGGAUUCUCCGUAUGGAGAAAGAGAUGUAAGUUCGGAGUUUGGUGAUGGCGUAAUGGUAACUGUCUGUUCACAUUGGUAGCAGUGAUAAUUCUGCGGUUGAUUGCCGGUAGCACCGCCUCCUCCUCCACCGGUACCAAAAGUUCCGGGCGACGACAUUUUUUUUUUUGUCUAUAUAUGGAUUCUCCGUACGGAGAAAGAGAGAAGAAAGAAGAAACGAAGGGAAACUGAAAUUUAGAGAGAGAAGAAGAGAAAAUCGAUGCGAGAGAGAAGUUAGGGGAAUUUGAGAAAUGGAUGAAAAGAAGAGAAAGAGGGG